UUUGUUUAGCCUACAACCAUAGGACCUUGUGAUUCUAUUAAAUCUUGCAAGCUAAGAAGGGAUAGGCUGGGUUGGUACUUGGAAGGGAAUCUUUUAUGGAACACCUUUCUAUGUAGGA
rnacentral:rRNA from 1 species